AUGCUUCUUCCUUGGUCUGUUCACCAAGUCAUGGACACCGACUCAAAAAAUGAACAAGGUUACCCCUUCAGCUGCAGGUGCAGGGUACUAUGUCUGGACUUGCCUUUUUUAUUUCAAUUCGUCUUGCUUUUUUGUACUAAAUCUUUGAUUCAUGCUUUUUCUCUCUUCAAUAGUAAAUCAUCUUGCAAUACCCAUGGUGCCACACGUGUUUUAUUCACCAAUCCUGUCAAGAGAAAUCAAAAUCAAGACGCCAAUCAGCUUAGCCUUGGGCUGCUCCUUUUCUGCCUUUUGUUUCCUGUAUACACUCAUCUUUCUUUGAUGGACCUGAAUUUCUUUUUGUUGUGUUAG
rnacentral:rRNA from 1 species